rnacentral:rRNA from 1 species
UACGAAGGGGGCUAGCGUUGCUCGGAAUUACUGGGCGUAAAGCGCACGUAGGCGGUCUUUUAAGUCGGGGGUGAAAUCCUGGAGCUCAACUCCAGAACUGCCUUUGAUACUGAAGAUCUUGAGUUCGGGAGAGGUGAGUGGAACUGCGAGCGUAGAGGUGAAAUUCGUAGAUAUUCGGAAGAACACCAGUGGCGAAGGCGGCUGACUGGACAUGUAUUGACGCUGAGGUGGCGAAAGCGUGGGGAGCAAACAGGG